CGAACGGGUGAGUAAUACAUCGGAACGUGCCCAGUAGCGGGGGAUAACCUCUCGAAAGAGAGGCUAAUACCGCAUACGACCUAUGGGUGAAAGAGGGGGAUCGCAAGACCUCUCACUAUUGGAGCGGCCGAUGUCGGAUUAGCUAGUUGGUGGGGUAAAAGCCUACCAAGGCGACGAUCCGUAGCUGGUCUGAGAGGACGGCCAGCCACACUGGAACUGAGACACGGUCCAG
rnacentral:rRNA from 1 species